CAGCUUACUCUUUUACAGAGAGAUUCUGUUGGUCUUACCAACCAGAAUAAUGAAUUGAAGUUUCGUCUACAAGCCAUGGAGCAACAGGCACAACUCCGAGAUGCUCUAAAUGAAGCAUUGACUGCUGAGGUUCGACGAUUAAAGAUUGCUACUGCAGAGAUCAGUGGGGAUUCUGACCCAACCAAGGGCNUGCUUUCAUUUCUUAGAUUUCCCAGUCGGGGCAGCCACAGUCUUCCCAACAGAACAUCCAUCAAUUGCAGCAGCAGCAACAAUCACCUUCCCAGCUCAACAUGCAUCAGUUGCAGCAACAGCCGCAGCUACAACAACGAAAUGGAAACACACCUUCGAAUGCAGAGUCUAAUCAAUAGGUUGUGAAGGAUAAGAUGGCUACUGUUGCUUAUUAUUUAUAUUUACAGUUUCUGGUGCUAAGUAUUUGUUUCUUCGGUGCAAUUGAUGGAUGUUCUGUU
rnacentral:misc_RNA from 1 species